UGAAGAAACACCUGUCCUCCAUCCUGAUUGGACUGGACGCUUUGCGCUUGUCACGUGAACACGGUUCAGGUGAAUACAUUGGGAUGGUAGGCGGGGCGUGUCGUUGCACGGCAACAUACCCCCACGGGAUCGUGCAGCCUCCCCGGUGACAAAAAAAAAGAAAAGAAAAAAAGAUUCCUUUGUCAAAGCGGCCCAACCCUAAGCCAGAGAGCCAAAUUACGUUUCAGUGUUUGGACGUCCUGUUUUUUAGGCUCUGGCUUGUCGUGCAAAGGAGAAGAAUGAGGCAGCCUUGCUGAGAGUUGAUAUUUAACUUCAGCCCCACCAGAUAAAGAAAGCACCCAUGCAAUGGUUUUGAGAGGGAGAUCUGCAAAAUAAAGAUUAGCCUCCAAUGCCGAGAACACUGAACUGAUUAUUCAGGGUGAAAAUACAGAAGAAGAGCAUUUGUCCCUUGAAACAGUAAAGCAUGUGGAGAAUCCACACAGUCACAAGUAUGCAGCAGCCAUGCAGAGGAAAUGAACACUUUUAGUCACUUUAGG